UCGAGGGGCAGCGGAGAGUAGCAAUACUCUGCCGGCGACCGGCGAAAGGGUGCGUAACGCGUGAGCAACUUGCCCGUAUCCGGGACAUAAGCGGUGGAAACGCCGUCUAAUUUCCCAUAACAACGAGGGCCGCAUGACCCAUGUUUGAAAGAUCCGUCGGAUACGGAUGGGCUCGCGAGACAUUAGCUAGUCGGCGUGGUAACGGCACACCGAGGCGACGAUGUCUAGGGGUUCUGAGAGGAAGGUCCCCCACACUGGAACUGAGACACGGUCCAGACUCCUACGGGAGGCAGCAGUGAGGAAUAUUGGUCAAUGGGCGCAAGCCUGAACCAGCCAUGCCGCGUGAAGGAAUAAGGCCCUAUGGGUCGUAAACUUCUUUUGUGGUGGAGCAAUAAGGUGCACGUGUGCGUCGAUGAGAGUACAUCACGAAUAAGCAUCGGCUAACUCCGUGCCAGCAGCCGCGGUAAUACGGAGGAUGCAAGCGUUAUCCGGAUUUAUUGGGUUUAAAGGGUGCGUAGGCUGUUCGACAAGUCAGGGGUGAAAGCCCAGUGCCUAACACUGGAACUGCCUUUGAUACUGCCGAGCUGGAAUACGGAUGCCGUGGGAGGAAUGAGUAGUGUAGCGGUGAAAUGCAUAGAUAUUACUCAGAACACCGAUUGCGAAGGCAUCUCACGAAUCCGUCAUUGACGCUGAGGCACGAAAGCGUGGGGAUCAAACAGGAUUAGAUACCCUGGUAGUCCACGC
rnacentral:rRNA from 1 species